rnacentral:rRNA from 1 species
UACGUAGGGGGCGAGCGUUGUCCGGAUUUAUUGGGCGUAAGGAGCGUGUAGGCGGCUUUGCAGGUCCGCUGUGAAAACUCGAGGCUCAACCUCGAGCUGUCGGUGGAAACCGUGAAGCUAGAGUCCGGAAGAGGAGAGUGGAAUUCCCGGUGUAGCGGUGAAAUGCGCAGAUAUCGGGAAGAACACCCGUGGCGAAGGCGGUUCUCUGGGACGGUACUGACGCUGAGACGCGAAAGCGUGGGGAGCGAACAGG